ACUUCCCCACGUGUAAGAUGACACCCACUGCCGACGCGGCGGCGUGUCGGUUGUUGUGCAUGUGUGAUUCAAAUAGGAGUCCAUGAAAACUUCUUGUAAACUAGGGAUGUACGCCUCGUGUUUUAUGACUAGCAAAGCAUGACCGUGGCAUGACUAACGACUAACGUUAGGCCGCCAGACGGAUGCCCCUACCUACCUGUACCAUACUCCAGAGCAACUGUAUAGGUCACUACGCCAAUCACAGUCCACAGUGAACUUCUGAACCAUGUGAACUGAAGUCAAAAUGCGAAAAUGAGACACCCAAAGCUGAAGGCAUACUUUGUUAAUUAUUAUACAAGGAGGAAGAAAGAGAGGAAGACAGCUAGAGGGAAAGCUGGCCUGACAACAUCAAGGAGCUGACAGCACUGGGCGUACAUGUACAUGUACAUGUACCAUGCAUACUGACUGUCUGUCAGCAGAUGAAGGACAGAUCAUGCUGGAGACUGCUGUCAAUUUCAGCAGAUGUCACGUCCCCCCCACGUCCUUGCAGGAUUCCAGAGAAAUUGUGUUUGAAGCACUGUCAUUCAUGUUGCUGCUGCAUACAAAAGUUCCUGAUCCUGUCCAGUUCCUGUUCUGAUGUAGCAGCCUUCCCAGCCCAUGACUCUGUUCAGGUUUGGUGCAUGUAACUCAGCCCUAUCCCCUGUUUCCUUGCUUCAAGGCAGGUAUGUAAGUCUUGUUUUGAAUUUCUGUGGAAAGGUUUAUUGUAUAAAGAGUAUCGAAAACAUGAUGCAGCGCGAAGGCUUUUUGGACGCUUGUAAAAAUAGAAAGUCCAUCGCAUUCCAGAUAACUUUUUGUUAAAGAUGCACAGGAGUGGAAUAUAUGUACUGUACAUCAGGUCUUAUUUACCUGACUAUUCUAAACCUACCUGCACAGAGAAGUAUACGUCUCAAAUAAGAAAAUGCCAUCGUACAAAUGUAGUUUGGAUAAUUCCUCUGCUUAAGAGGGAGCCUUCUUCACUCAAUUAUUUCUAACAGCCGCUCAUACAUAAAUGAAUGAAAAUACUGUGGGCUAGGGUCCGAGGCAAGACAAUCGGGAGAAGUCUUUACAGUUCUGGGUGCUCUGCUGUUCUUCUGACUUGCCAGCAAAUCGGAAGCUUGCAAAUCAAAAGCAUGAUGGGUUUUCGAGUCACAAUGCCUCGCUCUUUUGUUAGCGGUUUAUGAAAAAAAUCCUCUUUUGUAACCACCUUGGAAACUGACAAGCGGUAUAGGAUUAAAAAGAAAUGCCAUUAUUACGCAUUCAGCCACGAAUCAUCAGCAGAGCAAAACAGUCAGCAUCAGUUAGAGUGGGUUGGCAGUGCACAAUCUGCCCAUCUUCAUUUUUGAAUUCUACACUUACAAACUCUUUUCCAAGGGCGGAUCCAGAACACAAU